GCUGCUCCUGUCCCUGCAGUCCAGUUAACACCUUCACCCUGGAUGCUGCCACCAUGAAGCUGGUUCUCCUACUUCUUGCCAUAUUUGUGGCAACGGAACUGGUAAUGUCAGGCAGAAAUCCUAUCCUUCAAUGCAUGGGUAACAGAGGAUUCUGUAGGUCUUCCUGCAAAAAGGGUGAACAGGCCUACUUCUAUUGCAGAACUUACCAGACAUGCUGCCUCCAGUCCUACGUGAGGAUCAGCCUUACUGGUGUAGAUGACAACACUAACUGGUCUAAUGAGAAACACUGGCCAAGAAUACCGUGAAUGCCAGUAUGCCAUGUGCAGACACCAGGGAAGCCGUCCCUGCUGUCCAUCUCCUAUUAAAAUGACCCUAUAGAUGCCAGACCAGCUGAUUGAGCCAGGCAUUCUCCAUAGACAGACUUCCACACCUGCCACUUCCUUCAAGCCUGCUUCAGCCAUCAUCAUCUGCAGACUUUCCACCCAUGCCAGAGACCUCAGCAAAAGAAGAUACUGAAGACAUGUUUCCUGAUGGCAUCUGAUCAGACUUUUAAUUCUAUACCCAGGGGACAUAAGGGAUAUAAAAGUUGUUAAAUAUAAAUCUAUAUGUAUCACUUUCCUACCAAAAUGCUGUUUGACCAAGUGUAAAACUUCAUCAUGUGUCAUAAUGCUUUUUCUCAUUGUAUACUAGCUACCUUAUGUUUUGCCACCUGUUACUUUCUCACAGCCUUGAUGUAAUGCUUUAUUUGCCUGUUAAUUUUCCUUAUCACCUAAGAGAUUUAUAGCUGAUGAAAUCUUAGGCAUUACCACCCUAAUUGCUAUCUUAGGGUCAGUUGCAGCUUCUGCUGUCUCCCUUGCCCUACAGGUACACACUGCUAAUCAUGUUAACUCCCUGACAAAAAAUAUUUCUUUAGCACUGAUCACCCAGGAUAGGAUUGAUAGAGUCAACGCUUUAGAGGAAGCCAUCCUUUACAUAAGAACUCAGGUUCAGAAUAUUA